GCAGGAUCAGACAGGCAAUCAUCAACAACAUACUCUGAAUUUAAGAAUGACCACCACACAGUAAGAGAACUGGAAUUUGGAGGAAAACUUCAGCUCUGAGAACUUUCACACAGAAAACUAACAAAGAAAUUCUGGACUUAAACUUGACACUUGCCCAGUUGGUCUUAAUAGACAUCUAAAGAAUACUCCACCCAACAACUACAGAAUAUAUAUUCGUCUCAUCUGCAGACACAACAUACUUUAAAAAUGACUGCAUGUUUGGUCAGAGAGUCUCAACAAAUUUGGAAAAAUUAAAAUUAUACCCAACAUAUUCUCAGGUCGAAUGAAAUGCAAAUAGAAAUUACUGCCAAGAGGAAUUCUCAAAACCACACAAAUACGUGGAAAUUAAACACAUUGAUCCUGAAUGACCUUUGUAAAGCAAGAAAAUUAAGGCAAAAAUCAAAAAAUUAUUUGAAAAAAACAAAAAUUGUGACACAGUGUAACAAAACCUGUGAUAUUGCAAAAGAAGUGAUAAGAUUUGUAGCACUAAAUGCCUACAUCAAGAAAAUAGAAAUAUCUUGUUAACAACCUAACAUUACACCUAAAGAAAUAGAGAAAGAAGAACUAAAUUCUAAAUGAAGAACCCAGUUCUAGCAGAAGAAAAGAAAGAAUUAAAAUCAGAACAGAACUAAGUGAAAUUGAGAUAAAGAAAACUAUUCAAAGGAUCAACAAAAUGAAAAGUUUGUUUUUUGAAAGGAUAAACAAAAUUGAUAGACUGCUAGAUAAACAAAGGAAAAAAAGAAGAUCCAAAUAAGCACAAUCAGAUAUGACAAAGGUAACAUUACAACUGAUCUCGCAGAAAUAUAAAAGAUCCUCAGAGAUUACUAUGAACAUCUCUAUGCACACAACUAGAAAAUCUAGAGGAAAUAGAUAAAUUCCUGGAAAUAUACAACCUCCCAAGAUUGAAUCUGGAAGAAAAAGACACCCUAAAGAGACCAGUAAUGAGUUACAAAAUUGAAUAAGUAAUAAUAAAAAACUUACUAACCAGAAAAGCACCGGACCAGAUGGAUUUACAGCCAAAUUAUACCAGAUGUACAAAGAAGACAUCCUCAUCAAAUGACUUCCUCCAUACAGGCUCCAUCUGCACUGCCUGUUUUCUACUAGGUUAAAACUCUCUCCAAAGGCCACAUUUGACAGUGUGACUGCUAAUGCCAAGUCAAGACAAGAAAAUCAGGAAGGCUUUCUCUCUUUCUUGUAGACUGAUGACCUUUUUGAAACAUAUUACAAAAUAGGAUGCAUUGAAGGAAGCAUCUGGGGAUUGCUCAGCAUAUAUUUUGAAGCAUUCACUUGCUUUAUGCAGUAAGCAAGGGAAAAUGUUACAGAUUUU
rnacentral:lncRNA from 1 species